rnacentral:lncRNA from 1 species
CUGGGAAGGGACUUCUGCCUUUCUUUGGGACCUUGUCAACCCUUGGGAGAACUGUUAUAGGAGACCAUCUUGUCCUUUUCUCAUGUGUUGCUAUAGAGUUCUUACUUCCGUGCUCCUAAUGCCUGCCCCAUCAAUGUCACUAGGACCAUAUUGCUUGGACUUUUACCCUCCAGCGAGAUAACCACAGUUCUUCACCAGUAGCUGCCUCGUGUGUUUUGUUGUGGCCAUGACCAUCUGACUAAGAGAGGCCCAGUUGCCCAAAUUACUCUCCCUCACGUCAUUGUCUCCAGCAGAGGACAAAGGGCGUUUAUAGAGAGAGACUUCAACUGGUCAUGCAGCAGUGCAGUGGCACUUAUGGCUGCCUUGUUAUUCCUCUCUCAUUGGCUACAAGUGUCUGCAGGCUUGUCUCUCAGCUCUGGGCUCUGAAAAGCCCCAUUGUGCUGCUUGCUCUUGACUGAGAGGCAGGAGGUGACAAGGACAUUAUCACCUAAGUGGCGCAGGGGAUCUUUGCAUAAGUGAUUGCAUUUCGAUGUGCUUCAAAUCUCUUUCUCACUGGCCCAUCUUUCUGAUGAGCUGUUCAUGCUAAAUUCCCCAUCCUAGUUAAGGAGCUCUCUGUGGCACUGCUAAUGAUAAUGCUAAGUGACUUUAAAAUGCCUUUUGAUGUAAAUCCAUUCUGACUAACAAGUGAGAGGCAACCUACCUAUGCUCCAGGCAAAAUUUUAGCCUAGUGAAGAAAACACACACACACACACACAAACACACACAACUACCUUAACCUGGAGGGGGAGGGUCAGGAGCAUUGCACCCAGGCUGCUUCGGAAGCAGUGAGCUUCACACACAUUUGCAAGGUAAGGAACAAAAUACUGAGGUCUCAGUGAAGGUACCACCAGCAUCCCUAACAUCUCUCCUUCAUCAUCCCUCCUCCAUCAUCCCUCCUCCAUCAUCCCCUCUCUAUUAUCCCUCCUUAUACAUGAAUUCAGAAGGCAUAUAAAUUGCUUGAAAAUAUUUACCAUAUUUUAUGUCUUAAACAAAAAAUAGAGGAAGUUUUAUUACUCAGAUCUCAAUAUGAUUGUCCACGUUGGUUUUGAGGAUGGCUUUCCCUGGUAGUCACUGACAGGCUCACACCGAGCUCCUUGUUGCUUACUAGUUCUUAGCCUAUGAGAUAGAACUGUCCACAUGAGCAUGUCCCCUCAUGCUGUCAGUAUGAGCAGAGAUGAGGCAUUUUGUGGUUUGCACAAGGUUCCACCAAGCCAUUUCGGAGAGUUGUAUAUUUCCAUAUCUAAUCAAGUGCAUAAUUAACCCAGAGGGCAUAAUCAUAAAGCCAGGCUAAUUUAGCAUUCCCGAUUGGGGAUGGCCCCCCACACGGCAGAGUCCCCUCUAGCACCCACAGACUCAGCUGUUUCUCACAUCACUUUGGGGGUGAGGUUGGAAACAAUGGUAGCACUCCUUAGAUGCAUAUCCCAGAGCAAACCCCACUCUGCUGACGUGAGAAGUAGUGGGUUGGCUACUUGGCUACAGAUAAGAAUCACAAGUUUAGAAGAUGAAUUGGCCUCUACCCAAAGAGACCAACAAAUUCCCACUGAAGAACUGAGAAGACCAUGAAGCAAGGAUGUAAAAAUAUGUGCAGAAAUUACUAACAUAGACCACACCAUUAUUCAUUUGCACCGCCCCCCCCCCCCCAUGAUGGUGAUGGUUUGAAGGACAAAUGUACCCUAUGGCUCUUGUAUUUGGUUACUUGGUUCCCAUUUGGUGAAACUGUUUUGGGAAGUUCUAGAACCUUUAAAGAGUGAAGCCUUGAUGGAGGGACUAUGUCGCUGAGGGAUGGGCUUUCAGAUUUUGUAGCCUUUCCCCAGCUGCUGUUCACUCUUUGCUUCCUCCUCUGGCUGUUUGCUGCCAUGCCUUCCUGGGCAUUAUCUCCCUCUGGAACCGUAGGCCAAAGCAAACCAUCUUCCUUAAUUUGCCUUUUGCCGUAGUGUUUAUUUACUGCUAUAGAAAAGUAACUGAUACCAUAAUAAGAUUCCAAGCAUCGGCCAGCUCAUGCUAUAGUUUACACCAAAGACGUUUAACCAAGUACAGGGUGGGGAGUGGCUAUGCCACGCACACAUCAAACUUCACCUUCUAUAAUGGCAUCCUCGAGUUGUUUUAUAGUUUAAGCUGCUGCACAGAUUCUGUGGUGAUGCCUCCUGAGCAGGCUGCUGUUAUCAGCAAGCACAUGGCAGAAGCAGACAUUGGUGCCCCUGCUCACCUGCUGUGCAUGUCGGACAUCCCAGAAGUGAAACCUCAGCAGCUCCUGUCAAACCGGAAGAUGCAGCUCAGCCAUGCUGAACCAGACCUGCAGAUUCAGAGCAAACGG